GUACCGCGGCUGCUGGCACGGAGUUAGCCGAUCCUUAUUCAUAAGGUACAUACAAAAAGGGACACGUCCCUCACUUUAUUCCCUUAUAAAAGAAGUUUACAACCCAUAGGGCAGUCAUCCUUCACGCUACUUGGCUGGUUCAGACUCGCGUCCAUUGACCAAUAUUCCUCACUGCUGCCUCCCGUAGGAGUUUGGACCGUGUCUCAGUUCCAAUGUGGGGGACCUUCCUCUCAGAACCCCUAUCCAUCGUAGACUUGGUGGGCCGUUACCCCGCCAACAAUCUAAUGGAACGCAUCCCCAUCGCUUACCGAAAUUCUUUAAUAAAGAGAACAUGCGAACUCUUUAUACCAUCGGGUAUUAAUCUUUCUUUCGAAAGGCUAUCCCCGAGUAAGCGGCAGGUUGGAUACGUGUUACUCACCCGUGCGCCGGUCGCCAUCUGAAGUAUUGCUACUCCAAUGCUGCCCCUCGACUUGCAUGUGUUAAGCCUGUAGCUAGCGUUCAUCCUGAGCCAUGAUCAAACUC
rnacentral:rRNA from 1 species